CUGGUGUGGUGUGCGUGCAUGUAGGUAGUGGGUUAGUGGCUGCAUGCGUGUGUUAGUGGCCGGUGUGGCCGUGGAGGUGUGCGUGCGUAAGGCUACUUAUUGAGCCUGCGUGUGUGUAGAGAAGAAGUGAACCCAUUGUAAGACGUGAUGUAGCCUCUCAAUACAAAAGAAACAAGUGGCCGUUCGUGCGGCCGGCGGCGUCCGUGCGCGGGGAAAAACCACCGUGUCCUCGUGUUCAUCUUCCUCCUUCCUUUCUCCUUAGUUGGUUAGAGCCAUGGCAACGCAGAGAGAGAGAAAGAGCUGCGCCAACAUUUGGUAUCAGAGCCGGUUUCAUCUUGGGUGUCGCCUCUUGCCGGAGGCGUACCGGCGGUGGCGGCGCUCGCCGGCGGCUGCGCGAUGGAGCUCUGGGCCGUGUGUCGGCCCAUGGAGGUGGGCGGCGCUGUGGCUCUCAUGGCGCGUGGCGGAUGCGGCGGGCGGUGACGUCGUGGGUGCGUCGACCGCGGAGGCCGCCGAGGCGCUGCGUGGUGGCGCAGCGGCGCAGCACGGCAUGGCGGCAUGGAGGCCGCGGCGGUGCAUGGCAAUAAGACGCGGCGGCGAGCCGGGCGCGGCCGGUGCGUGUUAUGGGUGCGCAUUGGACGCGUCGGGCGCGUUGGAACCGCGGGCGUGGACCGCGUCGAGGCGCUGGACCUGGUUGCGCAGAUCGCGUACGUGCGCGGCGGGAGCGCGGGCCGGAAGCGCGGCGACGUGGGGAGUGCGCGCGAAGGGCACGGCGGUCGCGGAGACGAGGAGGUCGCGAGGGACCUCCGUGAUGGCGCAGAGGUCGCGACAGCUCGGCGCGACAACCGUGGAAGGUGUGUGGUACGGAGACGCGGCGUGGCGGCCCAUGGGACUGCGGGCUGCUGCAGCGGAAGAGAACUUGUGGCGUGUGUCGCCGAAGAUGAAGAAGGGCGUUCCCCGCGUCAACGAGGAGCCGGUGUCCUGUACGUCAGGAUGGGGGUACAGUCAUGGCUUAGGGGGGUGAAUGUUAGCCAUAAGCCAUGUGUGCGUGCACAACCGUGGCGCGUCUGUGCGCGUGUGUGACGUGCGUGAGUGGCGCAAGUCCAUGACCAGGUUGUUAACUAGCUUAGUGGAGUUUGUUAGCUAGCCCAUGCAUGCCCAUGUGUUGGCCGGGUCAUGCGUGGAUGGCUGGUGUGGUGUGCGUGCAUGUAGGUAGUGGGUUAGUGGCUGCAUGCGUGUGUUAGUGGCCGGUGUGGCCGUGGAGGUGUGCGUGCGUAAGGCUACUUAUAGAGCUUGCGUGUGUGUAGAGAAGAAGUGAACCCAUUGUAAGCCGUGAUGUAGCCUUUGAAUACAAAGGAAACAAGUGGCCGUUCGUGCGGCCGGCGGCGUUCGUGCGCUGGGAAAAACCACCGUGUCCUUGUG
rnacentral:lncRNA from 1 species